CAGGAUAAAGGGGGCCCGGCACUGACUUCUGCAACACCCGUUUUUAGAAGAGGACAGAGACCCAGCUGCCAAACACCUUCUCAGGGUUUGGGGAAUCGAACUCAGGUCUGUGUUUGCAAGCCAAGAACUCUACCCACUGAGCUAUCUCCUCCGUUUGUGUCUUCUAUUACUUUCACAAAUGCUUGAGCCUGCAAAGUUUAUAAAGUGAAUGUGUCUGAUGGCUGGAAAGUCAAAAUAUCAUGGCGAUGCUGUCUGGUUAGCGCUCUCCUGGAAGAGUCACAAUAUGGCAGAGAAGCCACUGCCAUGUGCAGAAGGGAGGACAUGGCAAGAGAGGAGCCCAGAGAGGUUGAGGCCGGCCUUGCUCCUGCAAGAACCUUUUUUUUUUUUUGAACUUGACGAUGCCAUCAAAUAUUUGCAAGUUCUUCCUAACUUGGUGGUUAAUUCAGCAGGUGACUGGGCUGACAGGGCCUUUGAUGCUAGACACGGCUCCCAAUGCAUUUGAUGACCAGUAUGAGGGCUGUGUCAACAAAAUGGAGGAAAAGGCACCCCUGCUUUUACAGGAAGACUUUAAUAUGAAUGCGAAAUUAAAAGUUGCGUGGGAAGAGGCAAAGAAACGAUGGAACAACAUAAAACCUAGUAGGAGUUAUCCCAAAGGUUUCAAUGAUUUCCAUGGAACGGCUUUAGUUGCCUACACUGGGA
rnacentral:lncRNA from 1 species